rnacentral:rRNA from 1 species
GGCUGUCGUCAGCUCGUGUCGUGAGAUGUUGGGUUAAGUCCCGCAACGAGCGCAACCCACGUCUUUAGUUGCCAGCAUUAAGUUGGGCACUCUAGAGAGACUGCCGGUGAUAAACCGGAGGAAGGUGUGGAUGACGUCAAGUCAUCAUGCCCCUUACAUCCUGGGCUACACACGUACUACAAUGCUACGGACAAAGGGCAGCAAACUCGCGAGAGCUAGCAAAUCCCAUAAACCGUGGCUCAGUUCAGAUCGUAGGCUGCAACUCGCCUACGUGAAGGAGGAAUCGCUAGUAAUCGCAGGUCAGCAUACUGCGGUGAAUACGUUCCCGGGCCUUGUACACACCGCCCGUCACACCAUGGAAGUUGGCCACGCCCGAAGUCGUUACUCCAACCCGCAAGGGAGGAGGAUGCCGAAGGUGGGGCUGAUGACUGGGGUGAAGUCGUAACAAGGUAGCCGUACCGGAAGGUGCGGCUGGAUCACCUCCUAA